CCUGGUGUCACACCGGCCUGAGAAGAAGAGCGCCUCCCUCGUGACGGGCCGGGCUAAAUAUACACCGUUCAGCACGGACACGACGUUUCCUCUCUGGGCGAGCACCGGGGCUACUGGACCUGAGCGCUAAUCCAAAAAGCAGCGCAGUGGAAAAGCUCUGGCCUCACGUCUCGGCUCCGCUGUCAACACCACUUCACCAGAACCUCGGCAGCGCCGCCGUGAGCGAGCGAGAGCCUCUAAGUAACUUUUUCAACUCGUAGCCCGUAAAGCAGACAGAGGGCGGCUUGUCGGAGGCCGGCUACGACAACACGGAGGCCCGGAGGAUUUACGGCCCCGGCUCCGCUUGUGAAACACGGAUUCUAAUGAGCGCUCGGCCGGCAGCGCGUCACUCAACUCUGGACUGGACCGGGACCCGGUGAUUGAGAGCUUUAGUCCGCGCACACACACACACACACACACACACACACACCACAGACCGCAGACUCCGAUCGGAGGCUCUCGGACAGAGUGCCAGUGAUGUCUGAGAGCCUCCGUGUACACACACUUGUGUCCAGUCAGACUGGACGCCCCUCGAGAGAUGCACCACGGCUCAUAAAUCAGUCGACUCACACGAGGUCCAGCGAGAACCCUCGCCAGUGCACCCCCCACCCCGCAAAAAAAGUAGGCUAAACUCCCCCUAGAGGCCGAAACUAGAGUCUGAAUGAGUGUCUGGGCGAACACCAGGGUUACUGGACCUGAGGUAAUCGGGAACUAGCUUAGCAUAGCAUCUACUAUUGAGCUCAACUAUUUUAGUUUAUCAUAUAAUCUCCUAUUAACGUCAACUAUUUUAGCAUUGCAUAUAAUCUACUAUUGAGCUCAACUAGUUUAUCAUAUCAUAUAAUCUCCUAUUAACGUCAACUAGUUUAGCAUUGCAUAUAAUCUACUAUUAACGUCAACUAGUUUAGCAUUGUAUAUAAUCUACUAUCAACGUCAACUAGUUUAGCAUUGUAUAUAAUCUACUAUCAACGUCAACUAGUUUAGCAUUGUAUAUAAUCUACUAUCAACGUCAACUAGUUUAUCAUAUCAUAUAAUCUACUAUCAACGUCAACUAGUUUAUCAUAUCAUAUAAUCUACUAUCAACGUCAACUAGUUUAGCAUUGUAUAUAAUCUACUAUCAACGUCAACUAGUUUAGCAUUGUAUAUAAUCUACUAUCAACGUCAACUAGUUUAUCAUAUCAUAUAAUCUACUAUCAACGUCAACUAGUUUAGCAUUGCAUAUAAUCUACUAUUGAGCUCAACAAGUUUAACAAAAAACAAAUUUAGCAAAGAAAGUAGGCUAAGCUCCCCCUAGAGGCCGAAACUAGAGUCUGAUUGAGUCAAGGAAACGAAGCGUGUCCUUCGUUAGCUAAACGGUGACAUUUUUACCACGGAACACGUUUACUGGAGCUCGGGGUUCUGUGAAAAACAGAAACCCAAAAGGAUUCUCUGUUUGCCUUCCAGGGCAAUUAGUGAGGCAACCGCCGGACCCUCACGCCGCGCGCAGGUAAUGUUCUGGAGUCCAGCCAGAACCCCGAAUGUCAUCGUGGUCAGCGCGACUCGAGCGGCAAAAAAUAUAUAAACGCGCAUUGGAACUGAAAACCACAUUUCCCCCCCUGUUAGUUUUGGAUGAGGACUCCGGGCUACUUGGAGCUUUGGGGUUCCUGGAGACCGGUGCCAGGAUCCUUUCUAAACUAGAAACUGAUAUCUCACCCCCCCCC